rnacentral:rRNA from 1 species
GAUGAACGCUGGCGGCGUGCCUAAUACAUGCAAGUCGAGCGAACAGACGAGGAGCUUGCUCUUCUGACGUUAGCGGCGGACGGGUGAGUAACACGUGGAUAACCUACCUAUAAGACUGGGAUAACUUCGGGAAACCGGAGCUAAUACCGGAUAAUAUAUUGAACCGCAUGGUUCAUUAGUGAAAGACGGUCUUGCUGUCACUUAUAGAUGGAUCCGCGCUGCAUUAGCUAGUUGGUAAGGUAACGGCUUACCAAGGCAACGAUGCGUAGCCGACCUGAGAGGGUGAUCGGCCACACUGGAACUGAGACACGGUCCAGACUCCUACGGGAGGCAGCAGUAGGGAAUCUUCCGCAAUGGGCGAAAGCCUGACGGAGCAACGCCGCGUGAGUGAUGAAGGUCUUCGGAUCGUAAAACUCUGUUAUUAGGGAAGAACAAAUGUGUAAGUAACUAUGCACGUCUUGACGGUACCUAAUCAGAAAGCCACGGCUAACUACGUG